GACGAACGCUGGCGGCGUGCCUAAUACAUGCAAGUAGAACGCACAGUUUAUACCGUAGCUUGCUACACCAUAAACUGUGAGUUGCGAACGGGUGAGUAACGCGUAGGUAACCUCCCUGGUAGCGGGGGAUAACUAUUGGAAACGAUAGCUAAUACCGCAUAAUAUUGAUUAUUGCAUGAUAAUUGAUUGAAAGAUGCUAUUGCAUCCCUACCAGAUGGACCUGCGUUGUAUUAGCUAGUAGGUGAGGUAACGGCUCACCUAGGCGACGAUACAUAGCCGACCUGAGAGGGUGAUCGGCCACACUGGGACUGAGACACGGCCCAGACUCCUACGGGAGGCAGCAGUAGGGAAUCUUCGGCAAUGGACGAAAGUCUGACCGAGCAACGCCGCGUGAGUGAAGAAGGUUUUCGGAUCGUAAAGCUCUGUUGUAAGAGAAGAACGGGUGUGAGAGUGGAAAGUUCACACUGUGACGGUAUCUUACCAGAAAGGGACGGCUAACUACGUG
rnacentral:rRNA from 1 species